rnacentral:rRNA from 1 species
AGGACAAACGCUGGCGGCGUGCAUAAAACAUGCAAGUCGGACGAGCCAAUCCCCGCAAGGGGAAAGGCUAGUGGCGAACGGCUGAGUAACACGUAGGUGAUCUGCCCUGAAGUGGGGGAUAACGACUCGAAAGAGUCGCUAAUACCGCAUGUGACCAUCGAUUCGUCUUCGAUGCUCAAAGUCGUAAGACGCUUUAGGAGGAGCCUGCGGCGGAUUAGCUAGUUGGUGAGGUAAUGGCCCACCAAGGCUUCGAUCCGUAGCUGGUCUGAGAGGAUGGCCAGCCAGACUGGGACUGAGACACGGCCCAGACUCCUACGGGAGGCAGCAGUUAGGAAUUUUGCGCAAUGGGGAAACCCUGACGCAGCCACGCCGCGUGCGGGAUGAAGGCCGUUCGGUCGUAAACCGCCUUUCGUCGAGGAACGACACCCGACGGUACUCGAGGCAUAAGCAACGGCUAACUACGUGCCAGCAGCCGC